rnacentral:rRNA from 1 species
UACAGAGGUCUCAAGCGUUGUUCGGAUUCAUUGGGCGUAAAGAGCGUGUAGGCGGCCCGGUAAGUCCGCUGUGAAAGUCGGGGGCUCAACCCUCGAAUGCCGGUGGAUACUGUCGGGCUAGAAUGCGGAAGAGGCGAGUGGAAUUCCUGGUGUAGCGGUGAAAUGCGCAGAUAUCAGGAGGAACACCGGUGGCGAAGGCGGGUCUCUGGGCCGGAACUGACGCUGAGGAGCGAAAGCGUGGGGAGCAAACAGG